AUUGAACGCUGGCGGCGGGCCUAACACAUGCAAGUCGAACGAGUGGAGGACGGGUGAGUAGUGUCUGGGAAACUGCCUGAUGGAGGGGGAUAACUCCUGGGAAAGGUAGCUAAUACCGCAUACCAUCGGAUGUGCCCAGAUGGGAUUAGCUAGUCGGUGCGGUAAAGGCUCACCUAGGCGGCGAUCCCUAGCGGGUCUGAGAGGAGGAUCAGCUACACUGGAACUGAGGAACGGUCCAGACUCCUACUGGAGGCAGCAGUGGGGAAUAUUGCGCAAGGGGCGCAAGGCUGAUGCAGCCAUGCCGCGUGUGUGAAGAGGGUCUUCGGAUUGUAGAGCACUUUAAGUUGGGAGGCGUUACCCGAAGAAGAAGCACCGGCUAACUCCGUGCCAGCAGCCGCGGUAAUAC
rnacentral:rRNA from 1 species